rnacentral:rRNA from 1 species
GAUGCUAAUACCGGAUAACAACAGAUGAUGCCUAUCAACUGUUUAAAAGAUGGUUCUGCUAUCACUCUUGGAUGGACCUGCGGUGCAUUAGCUAGUUGGUAGGGUAACGGCCUACCAAGGCGAUGAUGCAUAGCCGAGUUGAGAGACUGAUCGGCCACAUUGGGACUGAGACACGGCCCAAACUCCUACGGGAGGCAGCAGC